GGAAAUAUGCAUAAAUCAAAAACCAAUGACAAUAGCUUCAAAAGGACAUAUGCACAAUCAAAUUCAGAAAUUGAACAUUAACUUCAACAUUCAAAUAUAAGUCAUCAACCCCUCCAAUAUCCAUAAAUUCAAAUUUAUUAACUACAACCAAAAUAUAUAAAUUACAAAAUAAGUGCUACAAAAAAUCAAAAAAUUCAAUAUCCUAUAGACGCCAUCUCAAAAAAUUCAUAAACCUUCGAAAACAGACAGAGUAUCACUACUAGAAAUAAGGGCCUC
rnacentral:lncRNA from 1 species